CACGUAGGGUGCGAGCGUUGUCCGGAAUUAUUGGGCGUAAAGAGCUCGUAGGCGGUGUGUCGCGUCGGCCGUGAAAACCUGCAGCUUAAUUGUGGGCUUGCGGUCGAUACGGGCAGGCUAGAGUUCGGUAGGGGAGACUGGAAUUCCUGGUGUAGCGGUGAAAUGCGCAGAUAUCAGGAGGAACACCGGUGCGGAAGGCGGGUCUCUGGGCAGUAACUGACGCUGAGGAG
rnacentral:rRNA from 1 species